UACGGAGGGAGCUAGCGUUAGUUCGGAAUUACUGGGCGUAAAGCGCACGUAGGCGGCUUGUAGUUAGAGGUGAAGCCUGGAGCUGCAACUCCAGAUUGCCUUAAGACUGCAUCGCGUUGAAUCCAGGAGAGGUGAGUGGAAUCCGAGUGUAGAGGUGAAUUCGUAGAUAGUUCGGAAGAACACCAGUGGCGAAGGCGCUCGACUGGACUGGUAUUGACGCUGAGGUGCGAAAGCGUGGGAGCAACAGG
rnacentral:rRNA from 1 species